UACGGAAGGUGGCAAGCGUUGUUCGGAUUUACUGGGCGUACAGGGAGCGUAGGCGGUUGGAUAAGCCCUCCGUGAAAUCUCCAGGCUUAACCUGGAAAGUGCAGAGGGGACUGUUCAGCUAGAGGAUGGGAGAGGAGCGCGGAAUUCCCGGUGUAGCGGUGAAAUGCGUAGAGAUCGGGAGGAAGGCCGGUGGCGAAGGCGGCGCUCUGGAACAUUUCUGACGCUGAGGCUCGAAAGCGUGGGGAGCAAACAGG
rnacentral:rRNA from 1 species